UUAAUGGAAUGGCAUGGGACGCUGAGAUCGUCGUGUCGAGGUAUAAAAAAAACCUUUCUUUAGAAGCAUGCAGUUCCCUUUGGACACUGCUUUAAAUUGAGUCUUAUCUCAAUUCAAACAUCAUUUUGGUUUUAAUGACGAUGCUUCUGCAUGUAAAUUAAUACUCCCUCCGUUUUAAUUUAUGUGGAUCCAUUUGAUUGAGCACGGAAUUUAAGAAAAUAGAGAAGACUUUUGAACAUGUGGUGUAAAAUGAGGCACAUAUAUUUUUUGUGGCUAUAAAUCAUUACAUAAAGGUAAAUUGUUACCAAAUAAGGAAAUGGGUCAUUCUUUUUAGCACGGACUAAAAAAGAAAUAAGUUCACAUAAAUUGAAACGGAGGGAGUAUAUAUUAUCUUUGUCAAAGUUUUGGGAGGUCUGUGUUAGAUAUUAGUUUCAAUGAAGAAUUUUUUUUUUACUUUCCUUAUAGGUACCCAAGAAUUAAGCAAGACUCAAAACAAGGAGCAAAGCGGAAAGAAAGAAAAGAAGAACAAUGCUGAUUAUGAAAAGUCAGGGAAAAGAAAGCAGCCAAGAUGUUUAACGAAGGAAAAUCAAAUCCGCAAAAUAAGGAUAAAAGAAAAAGAUUCAUCCAGCGGUAGAUUAGGAAGAUCCUCAUCAACUUCAAGAAAGAAGGAAGAAGAAUCAAGUAUUACAAGGUAGGCAUAUAUCCACUUAAGGAAGAAUCAGUCAAGCCAGAAAGUCCCACAAGUUAGGACAUCUCUAUCAAUCAAGCAUGCAUCAAGGAGAAGAUUAU
rnacentral:lncRNA from 1 species